UGCUUGCAUCUUGAUUUAAUUUUGAACGAGUGGCGGACGGGUGAGUAACACGUGGGUAACCUGCCCUUAAGUGGGGGAUAACAUUUGGAAACAGAUGCUAAUACCGCAUAAAUCCAAGAACCGCAUGGUUCUUGGCUGAAAGAUGGCGUAAGCUAUCGCUUUUGGAUGGACCCGCGGCGUAUUAGCUAGUUGGUGAGGUAACGGCUCACCAAGGCAAUGAUACGUAGCCGAACUGAGAGGUUGAUCGGCCACAUUGGGACUGAGACACGGCCCAAACUCCUACGGGAGGCAGCAGUAGGGAAUCUUCCACAAUGGACGCAAGUCUGAUGGAGCAACGCCGCGUGAGUGAAGAAGGCUUUCGGGUCGUAAAACUCUGUUGUUGGAGAAGAAUGGUCGGCAGAGUAACUGUUGUCGGCGUGACGGUAUCCAACCAGAAAGCCACGGCUAACUACGUGCCAGCAG
rnacentral:rRNA from 2 species